AGUGGACGCUGGCGGUAGGCCUAACACAUGCAAGUCGAACGGCAGCACAGUAAGAGCUUGCUCUUACGGGUGGCGAGUGGCGGACGGGUGAGGAAUACAUCGGAAUCUACUUUUUCGUGGGGGAUAACGUAGGGAAACUUACGCUAAUACCGCAUACGACCUACGGGUGAAAGCAGGGGAUCUUCGGACCUUGCGCGAUUAAUUGAGCCGAUGUCGGAUUAGCUAGUUGGCGGGGUAAAGGCCCACCAAGGCGACGAUCCGUAGCUGGUCUGAGAGGAUGAUCAGCCACACUGGAACUGAGACACGGUCCAGACUCCUACGGGAGGCAGCAGUGGGGAAUAUUGGACAAUGGGCGCAAGCCUGAUCCAGCCAUACCGCGUGGGUGAAGAAGGCCUUCGGGUUGUAAAGCCCUUUUGUUGGGAAAGAAAAGCAGCAGGUUAAUACCCCGCUGUUCUGACGGUACCCAAAGAAUAAGCACCGGCUAACUUCGUG
rnacentral:rRNA from 1 species